UGUUCACAAAACAAAUGCAAAAUAUGAUUUUUAAUGUUAAUUGUUGUUGAACUAAAACCGGCACUGUACUGGCGGGAUUCUCUGUAGACUUUUACACGAUCUGGGAGCAGUGUUGCCAGAGCUAGUACAAUUGUACAAUUUUAGUACAUUUUAGUGUAUUUUAUACGCUAGUACAUUUUUCCUUUUUUCUAAUACAUUUUCCCUGCGUUCUCAAAUAUAAAGUUAUUUUAUAUUUUCGUUUAAUAAAAUAAACUAGAAAUUGUACUAGAUUGUAACAAUAAUUAGAAAACAGAGCCAAGUUGAUUUAUAUUUAGAUCGUGAGAUUUUUGUACUGCAUUGUUAAUUUUAUCGGUAAACUUUAUAUAAAUUUUUCAUCCUUAAAAUAAUAAUUGACACAGUCUAUCACAUUAUUGGAAAAAAAAUUUAAUUCAAACUUAUGUUUAUACAUCUUUUUAUAAUUUUAUCAAAUUUGUUUGAAGUUGGUACAACCUAGUUCAAUUUUUACAUUCAGCUUUUAAAUUGUGGCAACACUGUCUGGGAGUAUUGGGAACUGACACCGAGGUGUGGCUUAAAAAACAUGUCGGAAAGUACCUAGCUUAUAUUUAUUUACACAAAAUACGUAACAUUUAUUAUAAUAAUAUAUUAAAUAAGUGAAUAGUUAUUUGAUGCAACAGAUCUAUUGCCUUGGACGAGCAAAAAUUCACGACAAAAAAAUUAUGCAGAAUUUAGUUUAUCUGUCAGUUAAGUGAAUGUGCCCGCGAAAAAAGUGUGUUGUUACCGCGCUUUAUAUUUAGUCUUGUCAUUUGGAGAAAAUUCUCAUAAAAUUAAUGUAAAAUAUGGAGAAGUCGAAAAACAAUUUCUUGUUGUAAGCCAAGGUCAAAAAAGUGUGAGGAUUUAAUAGCAAUAUUAUUCUCUUGUUAUCGUUUUUUCCGUAAAUUCCUGUUAGAUAAUCGUGAUUCUUUUGGUAUCGAAAUUUUGAGGAAAUGCUACAAAAAAUAAUGAAUUUCAGAACUCACAGUAUCAGUUGCGACUUGCCAACCGUCCGGAUUCAUACUGGGCAUUAAAUGAAUCCUGGUCAUAUGAAUCAACGAUCUGAUUUGAGGAUUCCCCGUCAAAUAUUCAUCACAAAGAAUAAAAAUAUGGCGAAAUUUUACACUACGGUGUUUGUCGUACUCGUCCGAACUCCGCAGAGUAGCACAAUAGCUGGCGACCAGCAAUAUCCUCAAAUCACAAUUGUAUACUAGUCUUUAAUAAAAGUGAUAGAACAAA